rnacentral:rRNA from 1 species
GGUUAAAAAGCUCGUAGUUGGAGUUCUGCCAGGUGCCGCCUGUCCGCCCCAGUGGUGAGUACGUGGCGCGCAUUUGGCCCUUUCAAGGGGAGCGUAUUGCACUUAACUGUGUGGUGCGGGAUCCUUGACUUUUACUUUGAGGAAAUAAGAGUGUUCCAAGCCGGCUCUCGUCGUGCAUAGCUCAGCAUGGAAUAAUAGCAUAGGAUCUCGAUUCCAAACUGUUGGUUGUAGGAAACGAGAUUCAUGAUGAAGAGGGAUAGUUGGGGGCAUUCGUAUUUAACUGUCAGAGGUGAAGUUCUUGGAUUUGUUAAAGACGAACUACUGCGAAAGCAUCUGCCAUGGAUGUUUUCAUUGAUCAAGAACGAAAGUUAGGGGAUCGAAGACGAUCAGAUACCGUCCUAGUCUUAACUAUAAACCAUGCCGGCUAGAGAUCGGAGGUUGUUCGUUUUGUGACGCCUUCAGCAUCUUGAGAGAAAUCAAAGCCUUUGGGUUCCGGGGGGAGUAUGGUCGCAAGGCUGAAACUUAAAGGAAUUGACGGAAGGGCACCACCAGGAGUGGAGCCUGCGGCUUAAUUUGACUCAACACGGGGAAACUCACCAGGUCCAGACUGGGUAAAGAUGUACAGAUUGACAGCUCUUUACAGGAUUCUCAGGGGUGGUGGUGCAUGGGCC